CAGCAGCCGCGGGAAUACGUAGGUCCCGAGCGUUAUCCGGAUUUAUUGGGCGUAAAGCGAGCGCAGGCGGUUAGAUAAGUCUGAAGUUAAAGGCUGUGGCUUAACCAUAGUACGCUUUGGGAACUGUUUAACUUGAGUGCAGAAGGGGAGAGUGGAAUUCCAUGUGUAGCGGUGAAAUGCGUAGAUAUAUGGAGGAACACCGGUGGCGAAAGCGGCUCUCUGGUCUGUAACUGACGCUGAGGCUCGAAAGCGUGGGGAGCAAACAGGAUUAGAUACCCCGGUAGCCCUGUCUCUUAUACAC
rnacentral:rRNA from 1 species